CCUACGGGUGGCAGCAGUGAGGAAUAUUGGUCAAUGGACGAGAGUCUGAACCAGCCAAGUAGCGUGAAGGAUGACUGCCCUAUGGGUUGUAAACUUCUUUUAUAUGGGAAUAAAAUGUUCCACGUGUGGGAUUUUGUAUGUACCAUAUGAAUAAGGAUCGGCUAACUCCGUGCCAGCAGCCGCGGUAAUACGGAGGAUCCGAGCGUUAUCCGGAUUUAUUGGGUUUAAAGGGAGCGUAGGUGGGUUGUUAAGUCAGUUGUGAAAGUUUGCGGCUCAACCGUAAAAUUGCAGUUGAAACUGGCAGUCGUGAGUACAGUAGAGGUAGGCGGAAUUCGUGGUGUAGCGGUGAAAUGCUUAGAUAUCACGAAGAACUCCGAUUGCGAAGGCAGCUCACUAGACUGCAACUGACACUGAGGCUCGAAAGUGUGGGUAUCAAACAGGAUUAGAUACCCCAGUAGUC
rnacentral:rRNA from 1 species